rnacentral:lncRNA from 1 species
UCCAUGACCCCUGGACGUGAGAGGGGAAAAGGUCAGAGGUCAACAGGCACACCCGCAGGCCCCAGAGAAAAAGCAGCAGUGGAGACCCUGCGAGGAUGGACAGGAUGCCCAGUGGCUGGGAACAGAACGAGCUUGAAAAGCCACCAUCAAGCCAGUCCAUCCUGGAAGGACUGAACCCCUGGUUCCCCAGGCCACCUCCCUUCUGGGAGCCUUCCCAGAUCCCCAGCUUCAGCCAUCUCCCCGGAUGGUCAGACACCACACCCACUCCAAGAACCCAUCUCCUAACAGAGAAAAGUUUGUGGCUUGGCUCCAGUCCCCUCCUGCAAAAUCUGCAGCACUGAGGUGUCAUCUUCACUUCUAACAAUGGCAAACCCAAGCUGGCAUCUCUGUACCCACUCUCACCCCCGCCACAGCCAUGGCUGUCACACACAAACAUGGGAGUGGGAAGAUGAAUGUCUUCAGUGCUGACAUAAUAUUUAAAAAGCUGUCAAUCACCUAAACGCCCAGCUGUAGGGGACUGCAGAAAUGCAUCGUAUGAAACUCAUCCACUGCAUGAACUACUCUUGCCAUGAGCAGCAUUCAAAAUACAUUUUCAGAGAAAAAGUAGGAUAUGAAAUGAAAUCUGUGUCUAUAAAAGAAAAUGGAUAGGCCAGGCGCAGUGGCCCACGCCUGUAAUCCCAGCACUUUAGGAGGCCAAGGUGGGUAGAUCACUUGAGGUCAGGAGU